rnacentral:rRNA from 1 species
UACUAACUCUGGCGGCGUGCCUAAUACAUGCAAGUUGAGCGAUGAAGCUUGGUGCUUGCACCAAUUUGAAGAGCAGCGAGCGGGUGAGUAACGCGUGGGGAAUCUGCCUUUGAGCGGGGGACAACAUUUGGAAACGAAUGCUAAUACCGCAUAACAACUUUAAACAUAAGUUUUAAGUUUGAAAGAUGCAAUUGCAUCACUCAAAGAUGAUCCCGCGUUGUAUUAGCUAGUUGGUGAGGUAAAGGCUCACCAAGGCGAUGAUACAUAGCCGACCUGAGAGGGUGAUCGGCCACAUUGGGACUGAGACACGGCCCAAACGCCUACGGGAGGCAGCAGUAGGGAAUCUUCGGCAAUGGACGAAAGUCUGACCGAGCAACGCCGCGUGAGUGAAGAAGGGUUUCGGAUCGUAAAACUCUGUUGGUAGAGAAGAACGUUGGUGAGAGUGGAAAGCUCAUCAAGUGACGGUAACUACCCAGAAAGGGACGGCUAACUACGUG